ACGGGUGCGGAACACGUACGCAAUCUACCCUUGUCUGGGGCAUAGCCCAGUGAAAACUGGAUUAACUCCCCAUAGUAUCAGAUGGUGGCAUCACCGAUUGAUUAAAAAUUUAUUGGACAAGGAUGAGCGUGCGUCCCAUUAGCUAGUUGGUAGGGUAACGGCCUACCAAGGCGACGAUGGGUAGCUGGUGUGAGAGCACGACCAGCCACACGGGCACUGAGACACGGGCCCGACUCCUACGGGAGGCAGCAGUGAGGAAUAUUGGUCAAUGGACGCAAGUCUGAACCAGCCAUGCCGCGUGAAGGAUGAAGGCGUUCUGCGUUGUAAACUUCUUUUAUCUGGGAAGAAAAGCAUUGUUUCUACGAUGUCCGACGGUACCAGAGGAAUAAGCACCGGCUAACUCCGUGCCAGCAGCCGCGGUAAUACGGAGGGUGCAAGCGUUAUCCGGAUUCACUGGGUUUAAAGGGUGUGUAGGCGGGCAGGUAAGUCCGAGGUGAAAUCUCUGAGCUCAACUCAGAAACUGCCUUGGAUACUAUUUGUCUUGAAUAUCGUUGAGGUUGGCGGAAUAUGUCAUGUAGCGGUG
rnacentral:rRNA from 1 species